AUGACCGAUAGCGGAUUAGUACCGUGAGGGAAUGGUGAAAAGUACCCCGGGAGGGGAGUGAAAUAGAACAUGAAACCUUAAGCUUACAAGCAGUAGGAGGACGACUUAUCGUUUGACUGCGUGCCUGUUGAAGAAUGAGCCGGCGACUUAUAAAUUGUGGCUUGAUUAAAGACUAAUAAAUUUUUCUGUAGUCAAAGCGAAAGCGAGUUUGAAUCAAAGCGUAUUAGUCACUGUUUAUAGACUCGAACCCGAGUGAUCUAACCAUGACCAGAGUGAAGCUUAGGUAAAACUGAGUGGAGGCUCGAACUGACCGAUGUUGAAAAAUCGGCAGAUGAGUUGUGGUUAGCGGAGAAAUUCCAAUCGAACUCGGAGCUAGCUAGUUCUCCCCGAAAUGUGUUGAGGCGCAGCGAUGAUUGAAGGAUUGUUGAUAGGGGUAAAGCACUGUUUCGGUGCGGGCUGUGAAAACGGUACCAAAUCGAUGCAAACUCAGAAUACUAUCCAUAUUUUCCAAUCAUUAGUGAGACUGUGGGGGAUAAGCUUCAUAGUCGAGAGGGAAACAACCCAGACCACCAACUAAGGUCCCAAAGCGCGUGCUAAGUGGGAAAGGAUGUGGAGUUGCUCUGACAACCAGGAGGUUGGCUUAGAAGCAGC
rnacentral:rRNA from 1 species